rnacentral:rRNA from 1 species
AGCGAACGCUGGCGGUAGGCCUAACACAUGCAAGUCGAACGGCAGCACAGAGGAGCUUGCUCCUUGGGUGGCGAGUGGCGGACGGGUGAGGAAUACAUCGGAAUCUACUCUGUCGUGGGGGAUAACGUAGGGAAACUUACGCUAAUACCGCAUACGACCUACGGGUGAAAGCAGGGGAUCUUCGGACCUUGCGCGAUUGAAUGAGCCGAUGUCGGAUUAGCUAGUUGGCGGGGUAAAGGCCCACCAAGGCGACGAUCCGUAGCUGGUCUGAGAGGAUGAUCAGCCACACUGGAACUGAGACACGGUCCAGGCUCCUACGGGAGGCAGCAGUGGGGAAUAUUGGACAAUGGGCGCAAGCCUGAUCCAGCCAUACCGCGUGGGUGAAGAAGGCCUUCGGGUUGUAAAGCCCUUUUGUUGGGAAAGAAAUCCAUCUGGUUAAUACCCGGGUGGGAUGACGGUACCCAAAGAAUAAGCACCGGCUAACUUCGUGCCAGCCGCCGCAGUAA